rnacentral:piRNA from 1 species
UCCNCCUACUUCUACCUGGGGAUUUACCC